GACAGAGGUCCCGAGCGUUAGGCGGAAUCACUGGGCUUAAAGCGUGUGUAGGCGGAUGCCUAGUACCUUGUAGCGAAAUCCCACCGGCUUAACCGUGGAACUGACUUGGUAGUACUGGGUGUCUUGAGCCACUUAGGGGGCGUAACCGGGAACAAAUGGUGGAGCGGUGAAAAUGCGUAGAUAUCAUUUGGAACGCCAAUGGUGAAAACAGGUAUGCUGGGAGUGUGCUGACGCUGAGACACGAAAGACCAGGGGAGGCGAAACGGG
rnacentral:rRNA from 1 species